GGGUAACGGCUCACCUAGGCGACGAUCCCUAGCUGGUCUGAGAGGAUGACCAGCCACACUGGAACUGAGACACGGUCCAGACUCCUACGGGAGGCAGCAGUGGGGAAUAUUGCGCAAUGGGGGCAACCCUGACGCAGCAACGCCGCGUGAUUGAAGAAGGCCUUCGGGUUGUAAAGUACUUUCAGCGGGGAGGAAGGGAGUAAAGUUAAUACCUUUGCUCAUUGACGUUACCCGCAGAAGAAGCACCGGCUAACUCC
rnacentral:rRNA from 1 species